rnacentral:rRNA from 1 species
GACGAACGCUGGCGGCGUGCUUAACACAUGCAAGUCGAACGGAAAGGCCCUGCUUUUGUGGGGUGCUCGAGUGGCGAACGGGUGAGUAACACGUGAGUAACCUGCCCUUGACUUUGGGAUAACUUCCGGAAACUGGGGCUAAUACCGGAUAGGAGCUCCUGCUGCAUGGUGGGGGUUGGAAAGUUUCGGCGGUUGGGGAUGGACUCGCGGCUUAUCAGCUUGUUGGUGGGGUAGUGGCUUACCAAGGCUUUGACGGGUAGCCGGCCUGAGAGGGUGACCGGCCACAUUGGGACUGAGAUACGGCCCAGACUCCUACGGGAGGCAGCAGUGGGGAAUAUUGCACAAUGGGCGGAAGCCUGAUGCAGCAACGCCGCGUGCGGGAUGACGGCCUUCGGGUUGUAAACCGCUUUCGCCUGUGACGAAGCGUGAGUGACGGUAAUGGGUAAAGAAGCACCGGCUAACUACGUG